rnacentral:rRNA from 1 species
AAUUGACGGGACCGCACAAGCGGUGGAUGAUGUGGUUUAAUUCGAUGCAACGCGAAAAACCUUACCACCUUUGACAUGUACGGAAGUUGCCAGAGAUGGCUUCGUGCUCGAAAGAGAGCCGUAACACAGGUGCUGCAUGGCUGUCGUCAGCUCGUGUCGUGAGAUGUUGGGUUAAGUCCCGCAACGAGCGCAACCCUUGUCAUUAGUUGCUACGAAAGGGCACUCUAAUGAGACUGCCGGUGACAAACCGGAGGAAGGUGGGGAUGACGUCAAGUCCUCAUGGCCCUUAUAGGUGGGGCUACACACGUCAUACAAUGGCUGGUACAAAGGGUUGCCAACCCGCGAGGGGGAGCCAAUCCCAUAAAGCCAGUCGUAGUCCGGAUCGCAGUCUGCAACUCGACUGCGUGAAGUCGGAAUCGCUAGUAAUCGUGGAUCAGCAUGUCACGGUGAAUACGUUCCCGGGUCUU